rnacentral:rRNA from 1 species
UACGUAGGGCGCAAGCGUUGUCCGGAAUUAUUGGGCGUAAAGAGCUCGUAGGCGGUCUGUCGCGUCUGCUGUGAAAACUCGGGGCUUAACUCCGGGCCUGCAGUGGGUACGGGCAGACUAGAGUGCGGUAGGGGAGACUGGAAUUCCUGGUGUAGCGGUGAAAUGCGCAGAUAUCAGGAGGAACACCGGUGGCGAAGGCGGGUCUCUGGGCCGUAACUGACGCUGAGGAGCGAAAGCAUGGGGGAGCGAACAGG